GGUAGUCUUCCGGCACUGGGCUUCCGGGGGGGGCCAGGUUGGUGUCCAAAAGGUAGUGCUGCGCCCGAAAGAGAAGCGCAUGCGCACUGGCUUUCCCGUGCUCAUUGCAGCCCUCGGGUGUGUCGACACGCCAGUACUGCAGCCACCAUGGGCCACCUCCGCAUACGAAGGACAUUGCGGGCAGCCGUCGCACACACGUGCAGUGCCAGUCGCCGUGUUCACCGCUACUCUCCACUCUUUCGGUAACGGCUGCCCCAAAGCCACAGGCUUCCCCGGUGCAGCAUGUGUCGAUGGGUCCGCCGUUGCCUCUGACGUCUCCCCAGGCACUCGUACGCUGCGCAGGGGGUCUGGAUGUCCCAGCAGUGGCACAGCAGCCGGAUGCGUCCUCUCAUCUGGGACGCGGGGUCCUUCACCGCUAUUCUGGGAUACAGCGCCCUUGCCAGCUCUCCGGAGCCUCUUUACGUGCGAGAUGUGGCUGAUCUGGGAUAAUCGUGCUGUGCAGUUGUGGAGGAUUUUCUAGAGGAAAAUGGACAUGUGAGCAAUCCAGCCCUAAUGCUAAUAGCAAGAGUGUGAAAGUAGGUUUUGCGGCCUACUGGUAAGGUUAUUAGAGGGCAUGCAAUGUGGUGAGAAACUGUCCUUGGAAGGAGAAAAACAACUCCCAGGAAAAACAACUCCCAGAUGUUCAGUGAGAAACUUAGGGGCUUAGGUAAUUUCUUUGCCUCCUCGAAGACAGUAAAUGCUAUCCAAUCAUAUACUGUUUAGAUGUGCGUGCUAAAUGAACAUGUACCAAUCACUGUAUAGUUUGAGUCACGGGAUCACUGUUAAGGCAUAUAAAAGAUGCUAUUUGGGCUUAAUAAAGUGUCAGCAUUUAAUCAUAUUGAUUGGCGUGCUGUCCGUUUAUCUCCCACAUGCAGUAUGCUGAAGGAGAACAUUACCGUAAAAUGGCAGGCUAAGGACUCUCCUAAAAAAACCUAAAAGGCUUGGGAAAAGCCUAAGAGAACACUGAUGGGCUCUGGGAAGCCCAGUGAUGCUAGAGAAAACAGCAUGGCUUUUAGGCACCUCCUCAGAGCAGCAGCAAUGUCUUGCUCCAGCCUAUGGGACAAUGGGGACUCUUAAUUACCGCCUUGAAUUACCACAAGUGUUGCGAAAGCAGAAGGGACUAGGGAGCAUGCAGAGCAGGUUAUGGACUAUAUGUCAAGUUUAAAUAAGCAACAAGCCCCUCUGCAAAUAGAAACAGGUUUAGCCCUAAGUAAUAGACGAAGGUAGCUGUGAGUAACGUGAAGCGAAGCGGUGACGUCAGUCACCCCGAAAGCCUCGGAGAAGCGGUCUGAAAAUCUGGUACCCUCGUGGCCUCGGCAGUCUUUUUGGUUUGUUUGGCAGGGUAGCCCACCGAAGGGGGACAUCUCGAAGAGAAGCAGCAAGACCUGGGGAUCCGGUGGUUCAUUUUGGUUGUCGCCUGUGAGGCCAGCAUGCAAGAGUAAGAGGAAGCUAGGAGCUGUCUCGAAAAGAGAUGGAACCAAGGACAGCAAAUGCUGACGAGGAGAAGAGACGGACGAGCGUUUGCUUGCGGUUAAUACCGAAGGGACGGGAUGAAACAAGGAAGCCAGAAUGCAGCGGCCCCUCGAUAUCACCAGGAACUGCUACAGGAGGAGGCGUUCUGGCACGGGUAACUAGGAUUAAUUGCCACGGCUGAAGUUGAAGAGACCAAGAAACGUAAGCCGCGAAGGGGCACAUCUUGAAGAGAGGGGGCUAGACCUAGCGAUGCAGUUGUUCGUUUUGGUCGUCGCCUGUGAGGCCAGCAUGCAAGAGUAAGAGGAAGCUAGGAGCAGUCUCAAAAAGAGAUGGAACCAAGGACAGCAAAUGCUGACGAGGAGAAGAGACGGACGAGCGUUUGCUUGCGGUUAAUACCGAAGGGACGGGAUGAAACAAGGAAGCCAGAAUGCAGCGGCCCCUCGAUAUCACCAGGAACUGCUACAGGAGGAGGCGUUCUGGCACGGGUAACUAGGAUUAAUUGCCACGGCUGAAGUUGAAGAGACCAAGAAACGUAAGCCGCGAAGGGGCACAUCUUGAAGAGAGGGGGCUAGACCUAGCGAUGCAGUUGUUCGUUUUGGUCGUCGCCUGUGAGGCCAGCAUGCAAGAGUAAGAGGAAGCUAGGAGCAGUCUCAAAAAGAGAUGGAACCAAGGACAGCAAAUGCUGACGAGGAGAAGAGACGGACGAGCGUUUGCUUGCGGUUAAUACCGAAGGGACGGGAUGAAACAAGGAAGCCAGAAUGCAGCGGCCCCUCGAUAUCACCAGGAACUGCUACAGGAGGAGGCGUUCUGGCACGGGUAACUAGGAUUAAUUGCCACGGCUGAAGUUGAAGAGACCAAGAAACGUAAGCCGCGAAGGGGCACAUCUUGAAGAGAGGGGGCUAGACCUAGCGAUGCAGUUGUUCGUUUUGGUCGUCGCCUGUGAGGCCAGCAUGCAAGAGUAAGAGGAAGCUAGGAGCAGUCUCAAAAAGAGAUGGAACCAAGGACAGCAAAUGCUGACGAGGAGAAGAGACGGACGAGCGUUUGCUUGCGGUUAAUACCGAAGGGACGGGAUGAAACAAGGAAGCCAGAAUGCAGCGGCCCCUCGAUAUCACCAGGAACUGCUACAGGAGGAGGCGUUCUGGCACGGGUAACUAGGGGUAGCCCACCGAAGGGGGACAUCUCGAAGAGAAGCAGCAAGACCUGGGGAUCCGGUGGUUCAUUUUGGUCGUCGCCUGUGAGGCCAGCUUGCAAGAGUAAGAGGAAGCUAGGAGCAGUCUCAAAAAGAGAUGGAACCAAGGACAGCAAAUGCUGACGAGGAGAAGAGACGGACGAGCGUUUGCUUGCGGUUAAUACCGAAGGGACGGGAUGAAACAAGGAAGCCAGAAUGCAGCGGCCCCUCGAUAUCACCAGGAACUGCUACAGGAGGAGGCGUUCUGGCACGGGUAACUAGGAUUAAUUGCCACGGCUGAAGUUGAAGAGACCAAGAAACGUAAGCCGCGAAGGGGCACAUCUUGAAGAGAGGGGGCUAGACCUAGCGAUGCAGUUGUUCGUUUUGGUCGUCGCCUGUGAGGCCAGCAUGCAAGAGUAAGAGGAAGCUAGGAGCAGUCUCAAAAAGAGAUGGAACCAAGGACAGCAAAUGCUGACGAGGAGAAGAGACGGACGAGCGUUUGCUUGCGGUUAAUACCGAAGGGACGGGAUGAAACAAGGAAGCCAGAAUGCAGCGGCCCCUCGAUAUCACCAGGAACUGCUACAGGAGGAGGCGUUCUGGCACGGGUAACUAGGGGUAGCCCACCGAAGGGGGACAUCUCGAAGAGAAGCAGCAAGACCUGGGGAUCCGGUGGUUCAUUUUGGUCGUCGCCUGUGAGGCCAGCAUGCAAGAGUAAGAGGAAGCUAGGAGCAGUCUCAAAAAGAGAUGGAACCAAGGACAGCAAAUGCUGACGAGGAGAAGAGACGGACGAGCGUUUGCUUGCGGUUAAUACCGAAGGGACGGGAUGAAACAAGGAAGCCAGAAUGCAGCGGCCCCUCGAUAUCACCAGGAACUGCUACAGGAGGAGGCGUUCUGGCACGGGUAACUAGGAUUAAUUGCCACGGCUGAAGUUGAAGAGACCAAGAAACGUAAGCCGCGAAGGGGCACAUCUUGAAGAGAGGGGGCUAGACCUAGCGAUGCAGUUGUUCGUUUUGGUCGUCGCCUGUGAGGCCAGCAUGCAAGAGUAAGAGGAAGCUAGGAGCAGUCUCAAAAAGAGAUGGAACCAAGGACAGCAAAUGCUGACGAGGAGAAGAGACGGACGAGCGUUUGCUUGCGGUUAAUACCGAAGGGACGGGAUGAAACAAGGAAGCCAGAAUGCAGCGGCCCCUCGAUAUCACCAGGAACUGCUACAGGAGGAGGCGUUCUGGCACGGGUAACUAGGGGUAGCCCACCGAAGGGGGACAUCUCGAAGAGAAGCAGCAAGACCUGGGGAUCCGGUGGUUCAUUUUGGUCGUCGCCUGUGAGGCCAGCAUGCAAGAGUAAGAGGAAGCUAGGAGCAGUCUCAAAAAGAGAUGGAACCAAGGACAGCAAAUGCUGACGAGGAGAAGAGACGGACGAGCGUUUGCUUGCGGUUAAUACCGAAGGGACGGGAUGAAACAAGGAAGCCAGAAUGCAGCGGCCCCUCGAUAUCACCAGGAACUGCUACAGGAGGAGGCGUUCUGGCACGGGUAACUAGGAUUAAUUGCCACGGCUGAAGUUGAAGAGACCAAGAAACGUAAGCCGCGAAGGGGCACAUCUUGAAGAGAGGGGGCUAGACCUAGCGAUGCAGUUGUUCGUUUUGGUCGUCGCCUGUGAGGCCAGCAUGCAAGAGUAAGAGGAAGCUAGGAGCAGUCUCAAAAAGAGAUGGAACCAAGGACAGCAAAUGCUGACGAGGAGAAGAGACGGACGAGCGUUUGCUUGCGGUUAAUACCGAAGGGACGGGAUGAAACAAGGAAGCCAGAAUGCAGCGGCCCCUCGAUAUCACCAGGAACUGCUACAGGAGGAGGCGUUCUGGCACGGGUAACUAGGGGUAGCCCACCGAAGGGGGACAUCUCGAAGAGAAGCAGCAAGACCUGGGGAUCCGGUGGUUCAUUUUGGUCGUCGCCUGUGAGGCCAGCAUGCAAGAGUAAGAGGAAGCUAGGAGCAGUCUCAAAAAGAGAUGGAACCAAGGACAGCAAAUGCUGACGAGGAGAAGAGACGGACGAGCGUUUGCUUGCGGUUAAUACCGAAGGGACGGGAUGAAACAAGGAAGCCAGAAUGCAGCGGCCCCUCGAUAUCACCAGGAACUGCUACAGGAGGAGGCGUUCUGGCACGGGUAACUAGGGGUAGCCCACCGAAGGGGGACAUCUCGAAGAGAAGCAGCAAGACCUGGGGAUCCGGUGGUUCAUUUUGGUCGUCGCCUGUGAGGCCAGCAUGCAAGAGUAAGAGGAAGCUAGGAGCAGUCUCAAAAAGAGAUGGAACCAAGGACAGCAAAUGCUGACGAGGAGAAGAGACGGACGAGCGUUUGCUUGCGGUUAAUACCGAAGGGACGGGAUGAAACAAGGAAGCCAGAAUGCAGCGGCCCCUCGAUAUCACCAGGAACUGCUACAGGAGGAGGCGUUCUGGCACGGGUAACUAGGAUUAAUUGCCACGGCUGAAGUUGAAGAGACCAAGAAACGUAAGCCGCGAAGGGGCACAUCUUGAAGAGAGGGGGCUAGACCUAGCGAUGCAGUUGUUCGUUUUGGUCGUCGCCUGUGAGGCCAGCAUGCAAGAGUAAGAGGAAGCUAGGAGCAGUCUCAAAAAGAGAUGGAACCAAGGACAGCAAAUGCUGACGAGGAGAAGAGACGGACGAGCGUUUGCUUGCGGUUAAUACCGAAGGGACGGGAUGAAACAAGGAAGCCAGAAUGCAGCGGCCCCUCGAUAUCACCAGGAACUGCUACAGGAGGAGGCGUUCUGGCACGGGUAACUAGGGGUAGCCCACCGAAGGGGGACAUCUCGAAGAGAAGCAGCAAGACCUGGGGAUCCGGUGGUUCGUUUUGGUCGUCGCCUGUGAGGCCAGCAUGCAAGAGUAAGAGGAAGCUAGGAGCAGUCUCAAAAAGAGAUGGAACCAAGGACAGCAAAUGCUGACGAGGAGAAGAGACGGACGAGCGUUUGCUUGCGGUUAAUACCGAAGGGACGGGAUGAAACAAGGAAGCCAGAAUGCAGCGGCCCCUCGAUAUCACCAGGAACUGCUACAGGAGGAGGCGUUCUGGCACGGGUAACUAGGAUUAAUUGCCACGGCUGAAGUUGAAGAGACCAAGAAACGUAAGCCGCGAAGGGGCACAUCUUGAAGAGAGGGGGCUAGACCUAGCGAUGCAGUUGUUCGUUUUGGUCGUCGCCUGUGAGGCCAGCAUGCAAGAGUAAGAGGAAGCUAGGAGCAGUCUCAAAAAGAGAUGGAACCAAGGACAGCAAAUGCUGACGAGGAGAAGAGACGGACGAGCGUUUGCUUGCGGUUAAUACCGAAGGGACGGGAUGAAACAAGGAAGCCAGAAUGCAGCGGCCCCUCGAUAUCACCAGGAACUGCUACAGGAGGAGGCGUUCUGGCACGGGUAACUAGGGUAAGUAUGGCUAAUGACCGUUAGCAGUUAUUUUGGCCUCCCCGAGGCAGCGCUGAGGACUGA